AAAUAAUUUUGUCAUUAAUGAGAGCUGACACAUAAAGGUAAUAAACAUUUAAUGAAGAGAAAUUAUAACUUAAACAUAAAUAAAGGUAAAGUUAGUCAAAUAUCUCUUAUAAUUAAUAUUUUUUAAAAGACAUGUAAAAUAAAAAAAAUGAUAAAUAAUUCGAGACGGGGAGUAUACAUAUAACAACGUUACGUUUUUCAACCGUGCUUUGAAACAGGUAACUCCAAAAUUUAUGUGGUUUCAUUUUCAAGAUUUCUCCCUUGGUUUAGGCUCUAGUGGGUUUUCUUUAAUUUAACGGAAAAGGGCCAAAAUUACCCCUGAACUUUGAAAAAUAGUUCAUCCAUGCCCUUCGUUAUGCUUUAGGGCCAAUUAUACCCUUACCGUUAUACUUUGGGCCAAAUAUACCCUUGAGUAUAACGGCGUGCCACGUGUCAAAAUCUCAGUGGCCAACUUAUUUUCCCUCUUUUAUUUUUCAUCCGGAUGCCUACUCCUUCAGAUCCGACCCAAUUAAUUUAUUACCCAACCCGUAAAAUAACCCAAAUAAGCCAAACCUAACCCGUAUAACAUAUCUAUAGCCUGCCUCUCUCUCUCUCUAAAAAAAAAAAACGCAGAUCAUCUUCAACCUCUUCAAAUGGAAGCUGCAAUUGUGAUUUAGUGGGUUUUAUUGUUACCUUUUUGCUUGGUGAUUUAGUGGUUUUUCUGCAUACCCUUUUGCUUAUUUUGUGAUUUGGAUUUUGAGUUUUCAUAUUUUUUGUUUUGGGAUGCAGAUCGUCUUCAGAUGGGUGAAGUAGUUUCCACUAUUCCAAUGAAGUCUUACAAUGUCCGAAAUUAGUUGUAAUUCAACGAAAAAGUGUCACUGUGGUGAAAUUGCUCGUUGUUUCAAUUCGAAAACACCUUCAAAUCCUGGUAGGAUAUUCUAUAAGUCUCCUAAACUUAAGGCUGAAAAUUGUGGUUUUUGGGAGUGGCAAGAUAAUUUUCUAGACAAUGCUUUAUUGGAAAUAAGUGAUUUGAAGGGUAAAUUGGAAGUGGCUACGACGAAGAUGAACAAUUUAAGAGAGUCGUUGAAUGCGGUUAAGCUCGAAAGAGACAACUUGAAGAAAAAGGUGCAUAACUUGGAGGCUAUAAAUAACUCUCAAGUGAGAAAAUCAAGGGAAUUGGAAGAGAAGAUGUUGAAGUUGAAGAUGUUUAUGAUUUCAUUGUCCGUAUUAGUUGGAUUUUUUUGUCGCUAAUUUGGAAUGAAUUAUGCUUGGUCUAGUAAUAGAAGUGAAAGGCUUGUUUUGGUAGAUGACGAUGUGUAGGAGUAGAAGUGUUUGUUUAGGAGUUGAAGUCUUGAUAUGUAAGCUAGUUUGUUGUUGUUAUUGUAUGUGUAAACUUGCUAAUUUAGUGUUGCUAAUAAGAAAUC